AGCGAACGCUGGCGGCAGGCCUAACACAUGCAAGUCGAACGAACUCUUCGGAGUUAGUGGCGGACGGGUGAGUAACACGUGGGAACGUGCCUUUUGGUUCGGAAUAACUCAGGGAAACUUGUGCUAAUACCGAAUGUGCCCUUCGGGGGAAAGAUUGAUCGCCAUUAGAGCGGCCCGCGUCUGGUUAGCUAGUUGGUGAGGUAACGGCUCACCAAGGCGACGAUCAGUAGCUGGUCUGAGAGGAUGACCAGCCACACUGGGACUGAGACACGGUCCAGACUCCUACGGGAGGCAGCAGUGGGGAAUCUUGCGAAAUGGGCGAAAGCCUGACGCAGCCAUGGCGCGUGAAUGAUGAAGGUCUUAGGAUUGUAAAGUUCUUUCACCGGGGACGAUAAUGACGGUACCCGGAGAAGAAGCCCCGGCUAACUUCGUG
rnacentral:rRNA from 1 species